AUAGUCGCGACGUAGUUUGACUCAGUGGCUCGAGGACGAACGCUGGCGGCGUGCCUAACACAUGCAAGUCGAACGGAGUUGUUCCUUCGGGGACAACUUAGUGGCGGACGGGUGAGUAACGCGUGGGUAACCUGCCUUACACAGGGGGAUAACAGUUAGAAAUGACUGCUAAUACCGCAUAACCCGCUAGUACCGCAUGGUACAGACGGAAAAGAUUUAUCGGUGUAAGAUGGACCCGCGUCUGAUUAGCUAGUUGUGGGGUAAAGGCCUACCAAGGCGACGAUCAGUAGCCGACUUGAGAGAGUGACCGGCCACAUUGGGACUGAGACACGGCCCAAACUCCUACGGGAGGCAGCAGUGGGGAAUAUUGCACAAUGGGGGAAACCCUGAUGCAGCGACGCCGCGUGAGUGAAGACGGUUUUCGGAUUGUAAACCUCUGUCUUUGGUGACGAAGAAGUGACGGUAGCCAAGGAGGAAGCCACGGCUAACUACGUG
rnacentral:rRNA from 1 species